rnacentral:rRNA from 1 species
AUUGAACGCUGGCGGCAGGCCUAACACAUGCAAGUCGAACGAGUGGCGGACGGGUGAGUAAUGUCUGGGAAACUGCCUGAUGGAGGGGGAUAACUACUGGACACGGUAGCUACUAACGCAUCCCAUCGGAUGUGCCCAGAUGGGAUUAGCUAGUAGGUGGGGUAACGGCUCACCUAGGCGACGAUCCCUAGCUGGUCUGAGAGGAUGACCAGCCACACUGGAACUGAGACACGGUCCAGACUCCUACGGGAGGCAGCAGUGGGGAAUAUUGCACAAUGGGCGCAAGCCUGAUGCAGCCAUGCCGCGUGUAUGAAGAAGGCCGUCGGGUUGUAAAGUACUUUCAGCGGGGAGGCGUUACCCGCAGAAGAAGCACCGGCUAACUCCGUGCCAGCAGCCGCGGUAAUUC